rnacentral:rRNA from 1 species
UCUCAACCGCCAGGGAACUACGAGCCAAGCUUAAAACCCAAAGGACUUGACGGUACCCCAUAUCCCCCUAGAGGAGCCUGUCCUAUAAUCGAUAAUCCACGUUUAACCUUACCAUUUUUAGCUUAUCAGCCUGUAUACCUCCGUCGUCAGCUUACCACGUGAGCGAAACCUAGUGAGCUUAAUGCCUCUACACCAAUACGUCAGGUCAAGGUGCAGUAAAUGAAAUGGAAAGAGAUGGGCUACACUCUCUAAUCUAGAAGAUACGAAAAACUAACUAUGAAACCUAGUUGGAAGGCGGAUUUAGUAGUAAAAAGAAACAAUAGAGUUCUUUUUAACCCGGCACUGGGGUGUGUACACACCGCCCGUCACCCUCCUCAAAGCUAAAAAUUAGUGUAU